GAUGAACGCUGGCGGCGUGCUUAACACAUGCAAGUCGAACGGUGAAGCAGAGCUUGCUCUGUGGAUCAGUGGCGAACGGGUGAGUAACACGUGAGCAACCUCCCCCUGACUCUGGGAUAAGCCCUGGAAACGGCGUCUAUAACUCGAUAUGAGCUGCGACCGCAUGGUCAGCAGUUGGGAAGAUUUUUCGGUCUGGGAUGGGCUCACGGCCUAUCAGCUUGUUGGUGAGGUAAUGGCUCACCAAGGCGUCGACGGGUAGCCGGCCUGAGAGGGUGACCGGCCACACUGGGACUGAGACACGGCCCAGACUCCUACGGGAGGCAGCAGUGGGGAAUAUUGCACAAUGGGCGAAAGCCUGAUGCAGCAACGCCGCGUGAGGGAUGACGGCCUUCGGGUUGUAAACCUCUUUUAGCAGGGAAGAAGCGAAAGUGACGGUACCUGCAGAAAAAGCGCCGGCUAACUACGUG
rnacentral:rRNA from 1 species